AUUGAACGCUGGCGGCAGGCCUAACACAUGCAAGUCGAACGAGUGGCGGACGGGUGAGUAAUGUCUGGGAAACUGCCUGAUGGAGGGGGAUAACUACUGGAAACGGUAGCUAAUACCGCAUACCAUCCGAUGUGCGCAGAUGGGAUUAGCUAGUAGGGGGGGUAACGGCUCACCAAGGCGACGAUCCCUAGCUGGUCUGAGAGGAUGACCAGCCACACUGGAACUGAGACACGGUCCAGACUCCUACGGGAGGCAGCAGUGGGGAAUAUUGCACAAUGGGCGCAAGCCUGAUGCAGCCAUGCCGCGUGUAUGAAGAAGGCCUUCGGGUUGUAAAGUACUUUCAGCGGGGAGGCGUUACCCGAAGAAGAAGCACCGGCUAACUCCGUGCCAGCAGCCACGGUAAUUC
rnacentral:rRNA from 1 species